CGUACACUCCUACGGGAGGCAGCAGUGGGGAAUAUUGCACAAUGGGCGCAAGCCUGAUGCAGCCAUGCCGCGUGUAUGAAGAAGGCCUUCGGGUUGUAAAGUACUUUCAGCGGGGAGGAAGGCGAUAAGGUUAAUAACCUUGUUGAUUGACGUUACCCGCAGAAGAAGCACCGGCUAACUCCGUGCCAGCAGCCGCGGUAAUACGGAGGGUGCAAGCGUUAAUCGGAAUUACUGGGCGUAAAGCGCACGCAGGCGGUCUGUCAAGUCGGAUGUGAAAUCCCCGGGCUCAACCUGGGAACUGCAUUCGAAACUGGCAGGCUAGAGUCUUGUAGAGGGGGGUAGAAUUCCAGGUGUAGCGGUGAAAUGCGUAGAGAUCUGGAGGAAUACCGGUGGCGAAGGCGGCCCCCUGGACAAAGACUGACGCUCAGGUGCGAAAGCGUGGGGAGCAAACAGGAUUAGAUACCCGGGUAGUCCCA
rnacentral:rRNA from 1 species